UCCCAGGGUGACAGGCAGGGGGCAGAGUUUAAUCCAGUUCUUUCCGGAAAUGGCUCAGAGCCUCCAAACUGGAAUGACUGUCUGUCCUUGUAGAGGCUUUUCCAGUGAUCGUCAUGGCGAUUGUCAACCAUCCUAGCGCUGGUGGGUGUGUCUUCUAGGAGGUCCUGGUAAGGAAUGCCGAACCAGCAAGUUACCGCCAGCCCAGAGAAUUCGGGAAAGGUCAAAAGGAGAAAGGAGAUGACUCUCCAUAUGUCCUACCAACCUCCCAGCAUCCUUCUCGCUGGCGUCCGUCUCGGCUGAGUGACCCACACGCCACCAGGAAGGACCCUGAGUCAGAGGGAUCAGCCAGACACAACCCAGAAACUAACCCCAUCACUAUAAAACCCGAGACUGCAAGCCCAGUGGCAGAGCAGUCCUCCUGGGUUCCCUCGCCCUGCUGCCUUCUUCCCGGGCACUCCUUCCCAACAAAGUCUCU